AGUUUGAUCCUGGCUCAGGAUGAACGCUAGCUACAGGCUUAACACAUGCAAGUCGAGGGGCAGCGGGAAGGGAGCUUGCUUCCUUUGCCGGCGACCGGCGCACGGGUGAGUAACGCGUAUCCAACCUUCCCCUUAGUAGAGGAUAGCCCGGCGAAAGUCGGAUUAAUACUCUAUGUUCUUCUUUGAUGACAUCUGAUAUGAAGCAAAGGCUUGUCGCUAAGGGAUGGGGAUGCGUCUGAUUAGGUAGUCGGCGGGGUAACGGCCCACCGAGCCGUCGAUCAGUAGGGGUUCUGAGAGGAAGGUCCCCCACAUUGGAACUGAGACACGGUCCAAACUCCUACGGGAGGCAGCAGUGAGGAAUAUUGGUCAAUGGGCGAGAGCCUGAACCAGCCAAGUAGCGUGCAGGACGACGGCCCUAUGGGUUGUAAACUGCUUUUAUGCGGGGAUAAAGUACACUACGUGUAGUGUUUUGUAGGUACCGCAUGAAUAAGGACCGGCUAAUUCCGUGCC
rnacentral:rRNA from 1 species